CCUAGGGGUGGCUGCAGUGAGGAAUAUUGGUCAAUGGGCGCGAGCCUGAACCAGCCAAGUCGCGUGAGGGAGGACGGCCCUACGGGUUGUAAACCUCUUUUGCCGGGGAGCAACGGGCGUCACGUGUGGCGCCACUGAGAGUACCCGGAGAAAAAGCAUCGGCUAACUCCGUGCCAGCAGCCGCGGUAAUACGGAGGAUGCGAGCGUUAUCCGGAUUUAUUGGGUUUAAAGGGUGCGUAGGCGGAUCGUUAAGUCAGUGGUCAAAUUGAGGGGCUCAACCCCUUCCCGCCAUUGAAACUGGCAGUCUUGAGUGGGCGAGAAGUAUGCGGAAUGCGUGGUGUAGCGGUGAAAUGCAUAGAUAUCACGCAGAACUCCGAUUGCGAAGGCAGCAUACCGGCGCCCGACUGACGCUGAGGCACGAAAGCGUGGGUAUCGAACAGGAUUAGAUACCCGGGUAGUC
rnacentral:rRNA from 1 species